GACGAACGCUGGCGGCGUGCUUAACACAUGCAAGUCGAGCGGUAAGGCCCUUUCGGGGGUACACGAGCGGCGAACGGGUGAGUAACACGUAGGUAAUCUACCUUUGGGUGGGGAAUAACAGCCGGAAACGGCUGCUAAUACCGCAUAAUGCAGCGGCUCGACAUCGAGACAGUUGUUAAAGCGGGGGAUCGCAAGACCUCGCGCCUAAAGAGGAGCCUGCGGCGGAUUAGCUUGNGGUGAGGUAAUGGCUCACCAAGGCAUCGAUCCGUAGCCGGCCUGAGAGGGCGGUCGGCCACACUGACACUGACAUACGGGUCAGACUCCUACGGGAGGCAGCAGUCGGGAAUUUUGGG
rnacentral:rRNA from 1 species